rnacentral:rRNA from 1 species
UUAAGCGACUAAGCGUACACGGUGGAUGCCCUGGCAGUCAGAGGCGAUGAAGGACGUGCUAAUCUGCGAUAAGCGUCGGUAAGGUGAUAUGAACCGUUAUAACCGGCGAUUUCCGAAUGGGGAAACCCAGUGUGUUUCGACACACUAUCAUUAACUGAAUCCAUAGGUUAAUGAGGCGAACCGGGGGAACUGAAACAUCUAAGUACCCCGAGGAAAAGAAAUCAACCGAGAUUCCCCCAGUAGCGGCGAGCGAACGGGGAGCAGCCCAGAGCCUGAAUCAGUGUGUGUGUUAGUGGAAGCGUCUGGAAAGGCGCGCGAUACAGGGUGACAGCCCCGUACACAAAAAUGCACAUGCUGUGAGCUCGAUGAGUAGGGCGGGACACGUGGUAUCCUGUCUGAAUAUGGGGGGACCAUCCUCCAAGGCUAAAUACUCCUGACUGACCGAUAGUGAACCAGUACCGUGAGGGAAAGGCGAAAAGAACCCCGGCGAGGGGAGUGAAAAAGAACCUGAAACCGUGUACGUACAAGCAGUGGGAGCACGCUUAGGCGUGUGACUGCGUACCUUUUGUAUAAUGGGUCAGCGACUUAUAUUCUGUAGCAAGGUUAACCGAAUAGGGGAGCCGAAGGGAAACCGAGUCUUAACUGGGCGUUAAGUUGCAGGGUAUAGACCCGAAACCCGGUGAUCUAGCCAUGGGCAGGUUGAAGGUUGGGUAACACUAACUGGAGGACCGAACCGACUAAUGUUGAAAAAUUAGCGGAUGACUUGUGGCUGGGGGUGAAAGGCCAAUCAAACCGGGAGAUAGCUGGUUCUCCCCGAAAGCUAUUUAGGUAGCGCCUCGUGAACUCAUCUCCGGGGGUAGAGCACUGUUUCGGCAAGGGGGUCAUCCCGACUUACCAACCCGAUGCAAACUGCGAAUACCGGAGAAUGUUAUCACGGGAGACACACGGCGGGUGCUAACGUCCGUCGUGAAGAGGGAAACAACCCAGACCGCCAGCUAAGGUCCCAAAGUCAUGGUUAAGUGGGAAACGAUGUGGGAAGGCCCAGACAGCCAGGAUGUUGGCUUAGAAGCAGCCAUCAUUUAAAGAAAGCGUAAUAGCUCACUGGUCGAGUCGGCCUGCGCGGAAGAUGUAACGGGGCUAAACCAUGCACCGAAGCUGCGGCAGCGACACUAUGUGUUGUUGGGUAGGGGAGCGUUCUGUAAGCCUGUGAAGGUGUGCUGUGAGGCAUGCUGGAGGUAUCAGAAGUGCGAAUGCUGACAUAAGUAACGAUAAAGCGGGUGAAAAGCCCGCUCGCCGGAAGACCAAGGGUUCCUGUCCAACGUUAAUCGGGGCAGGGUGAGUCGACCCCUAAGGCGAGGCCGAAAGGCGUAGUCGAUGGGAAACAGGUUAAUAUUCCUGUACUUGGUGUUACUGCGAAGGGGGGACGGAGAAGGCUAUGUUGGCCGGGCGACGGUUGUCCCGGUUUAAGCGUGUAGGCUGGUUUUCCAGGCAAAUCCGGAAAAUCAAGGCUGAGGCGUGAUGACGAGGCACUACGGUGCUGAAGCAACAAAUGCCCUGCUUCCAGGAAAAGCCUCUAAGCAUCAGGUAACAUCAAAUCGUACCCCAAACCGACACAGGUGGUCAGGUAGAGAAUACCAAGGCGCUUGAGAGAACUCGGGUGAAGGAACUAGGCAAAAUGGUGCCGUAACUUCGGGAGAAGGCACGCUGAUAUGUAGGUGAAGUCCCUCGCGGAUGGAGCUGAAAUCAGUCGAAGAUACCAGCUGGCUGCAACUGUUUAUUAAAAACACAGCACUGUGCAAACACGAAAGUGGACGUAUACGGUGUGACGCCUGCCCGGUGCCGGAAGGUUAAUUGAUGGGGUCAGCGCAAGCGAAGCUCUUGAUCGAAGCCCCGGUAAACGGCGGCCGUAACUAUAACGGUCCUAAGGUAGCGAAAUUCCUUGUCGGGUAAGUUCCGACCUGCACGAAUGGCGUAAUGAUGGCCAGGCUGUCUCCACCCGAGACUCAGUGAAAUUGAACUCGCUGUGAAGAUGCAGUGUACCCGCGGCAAGACGGAAAGACCCCGUGAACCUUUACUAUAGCUUGACACUGAACAUUGAGCCUUGAUGUGUAGGAUAGGUGGGAGGCUUUGAAGUGUGGACGCCAGUCUGCAUGGAGCUGACCUUGAAAUACCACCCUUUAAUGUUUGAUGUUCUAACGUUGACCCGUAAUCCGGGUUGCGGACAGUGUCUGGUGGGUAGUUUGACUGGGGCGGUCUCCUCCUAAAGAGUAACGGAGGAGCACGAAGGUUGGCUAAUCCUGGUCGGACAUCAGGAGGUUAGUGCAAUGGCAUAAGCCAGCUUGACUGCGAGCGUGACGGCGCGAGCAGGUGCGAAAGCAGGUCAUAGUGAUCCGGUGGUUCUGAAUGGAAGGGCCAUCGCUCAACGGAUAAAAGGUACUCCGGGGAUAACAGGCUGAUACCGCCCAAGAGUUCAUAUCGACGGCGGUGUUUGGCACCUCGAUGUCGGCUCAUCACAUCCUGGGGCUGAAGUAGGUCCCAAGGGUAUGGCUGUUCGCCAUUUAAAGUGGUACGCGAGCUGGGUUUAGAACGUCGUGAGACAGUUCGGUCCCUAUCUGCCGUGGGCGCUGGAGAACUGAGGGGGGCUGCUCCUAGUACGAGAGGACCGGAGUGGACGCAUCACUGGUGUUCGGGUUGUCAUGCCAAUGGCACUGCCCGGUAGCUAAAUGCGGAAGAGAUAAGUGCUGAAAGCAUCUAAGCACGAAACUUGCCCCGAGAUGAGUUCUCCCUGACCCUUUAAGGGUCCUGAAGGAACGUUGAAGACGACGACGUUGAUAGGCCGGGUGUGUAAGCGCAGCGAUGCGUUGAGCUAACCGGUACUAAUGAACCGUGAGGCUUAACCUU